AGUGAGCUGCUGGUAGCUUGGAUCAGAGUUGUGACUUUCAGAGACUAGCCAGAUGGCUUCAUAAACAGAUUCCCUGGGUGGCAGGGGCAGAGGUGACAACAUACAAUGAAGGUGAAGAGUACAGGCGGGAAGCUGAAACAUCUCUUGAAGACAGGAAUGAGCAACAAGGAAGCAACACGUCUGACUUAGUGUUCAAGAAAGAGAGGAGGAACUUGCUGAGGCCCUUGUUAGAACAGCAGUUACAAGGAUCAGAAGCAAUUUAAGGAAGCUCUCCAGUACCUUGGCUGAACCCUUCAACUUCCCGGUGCUCCCAGUGCCUGUCUCAGGGUCAGAGACUCUAGGAGAUUUGGAGCUUCUUCUGGAGGCCCACAGCAUCCAGAUAUUCCUCGUGAAGGUGAGAAAACUGAGGCUCAGUAGCACAAAUAUUAUGACACUGCUAGAGAGCAUAUCGCCGAGACUCAGCCGUGUUUGUGCCAUACCCUCAAGUCAGAUCACUUUGUGUUCAGUUAGACUGCCUUCUCCAUGGAAACUUCUUUCCCAGCUUCUGGGAGUCCUUGCAGUUUCAUCAGCUUUGGCUAAGUGCCUAUUAGAGAGGUAACAUCAAUGAAGAGGAAGUCAGGAAAAGGAGCAUAAAGAUAAGAAAGGAGGUGGAGAGAGGUGAAAAAUUCAGAAGCCUUCCAUCUGUCAAUAAAGAAGAGAACUGAGGGCAUUUUCCUGAGCCUCCAUAAACUGGGAGGACCACAGACCCUAUAGACCUCUAAGAAGAAUGACAGGCAGUACUGAGGUCUUGAGCAGUCCCCACACUGGAUGCAUCUUGGCUGUCUCUGAGCCUGGAGUGAGUUUACCCCAUAGAUCCCAUAAUUCUGGCUCUCUACUACCAUUUGGUUCUACUUUAGCUAUUGCCACCUCUUGAUAAUUCUCCUGAAUAAGAGCUGACCCACAGAUACUUUAAAUAGUUGAUUAUGGGGUCCACGUCACUCUAUUUUGGGAUUGCUUGUCAAAUACCAUAUUGUAGCAGUGGCUGACUGUUGUUUUUUGCAUCUGUACCUGUUUUGUUCACCUCUGCCUACCACUUUUCCACUGUGAGUGCUACAUUACUGCUCAUGGAUGCUGAGAACUAGCAGGAAUUAGAGCUAGGUAUAUCUGCACAUUGGCUGGGUUCUUUAGUUCACACUGGGCCCUGGGAAAGAGAGAGGUUAGUCCUCUUUCUAUUUUGCGCCAUGCUGUAGUCUGCCCCCAUGGGGGAGGUGCCCCAGCAUCUGUCUGAAGCCCAGUUUCUGAAGAUGCACCAGCAGAUUUAGCCAUCCUCUCAUAUUACUUAUAGAUUCAGCAUCUCCACAGCUGGAUAUGGACAUGGAAACUUGUGACUUGAAUUAAACAUCCAAGUGAAGUUCACUCCCAUCCUUGCUUCUUCUCUAACUGUCCACACCUGAGCCUUUUGCUUUUAGAAAUCUAGAGGAGCAUGACAUUGUGGCACAGAAGCUUUUUGGAGACACAAAAGAGAAUCACCAGUCGAAACUUCUGUGACUUCAGUAAUGAGGAUCCAGC
ensembl:lincRNA